CCUACGGGAGGCUGCAGUGAGGAAUAUUGGUCAAUGGGCGCGAGCCUGAACCAGCCAAGUAGCGUGAAGGAUGACUGCCCUACGGGUUGUAAACUUCUUUUAUAAAGGAAUAAAGUGAGGCACGUGUGCCUUUUUGCAUGUACUUUAUGAAUAAGGAUCGGCUAACUCCGUGCCAGCAGCCGCGGUAAUACGGAGGAUCCGAGCGUUAUCCGGAUUUAUUGGGUUUAAUGGGAGCGUAGAUGGGUUGUUAAGUCAGUUGUGAAAGUUUGCGGCUCAACCGUAAAAUUGCAGUUGAUACUGGCAGACUUGAGUACAGUAGAGGUAGGCGGAAUUCGUGGUGUAGCGGUGAAAUGCUUAGAUAUCACGAAGAACUCCGAUUGCGAAGGCAGCUUACUAAACUGUCACUGACACUGAUGCUCGAAAGUGUGGGUAUCAAACAGGAUUAGAUACCCGAGUAGUC
rnacentral:rRNA from 1 species